rnacentral:rRNA from 1 species
GUCCACGCCAUAAACGAUGAGAACUGGAUGUCGGAGGGGUCUGCCCUUCGGUGUCGUAGCUAACGCGUUAAGUUCUCCGCCUGGGGAGUACGGCCGCAAGGUUGAAACUCAAAUGAAUUGACGGGGACCCCGCACAAGCGGUGGAGCAUGUGGUUUAAUUCGAUGCAACGCGAAGAACCUUACCUGGUCUUGACAUGUCUGUAAUCUUGCAGAGAUGCGAGAGUGCCUUCGGGAACCAGAACACAGGUGCUGCAUGGCUGUCGU